AGAGUUUGAUCCUGGCUCAGAGCGAACGCUGGCGGCAGGCUUAACACAUGCAAGUCGAGCGGGCGUAGCAAUACGUCAGCGGCAGACGGGUGAGUAACGCGUGGGAACAUACCUUUUGGCUCGGAACAACACAGGGAAACUUGUGCUAAUACCGGAUAAGCCCUUACGGGGAAAGAUUUAUCGCCGAAAGAUUGGCCCGCGUCUGAUUAGCUAGUUGGUGAGGUAACGGCUCACCAAGGCGACGAUCAGUAGCUGGUCUGAGAGGAUGAUCAGCCACAUUGGGACUGAGACACGGCCCAAACUCCUACGGGAGGCAGCAGUGGGGAAUAUUGGACAAUGGGCGCAAGCCUGAUCCAGCCAUGCCGCGUGAGUGAUGAAGGCCCUAGGGUUGUAAAGCUCUUUUGUGCGGGAAGAUAAUGACGGUACCGCAAGAAUAAGCCCCGGCUAACUUCGUGCCAGCAGCCGCGGUAAUACGAAGGGGGCUAGCGUUGCUCGGAAUCACUGGGCGUAAAGGGUGCGUAGGCGGGUCUUUAAGUCAGGGGUGAAAUCCUGGAGCUCAACUCCAGAACUGCCUUUGAUACUGAGGAUCUUGAGUUCGGGAGAGGUGAGUGGAACUGCGAGUGUAGAGGUGAAAUUCGUAGAUAUUCGCAAGAACACCAGUGGCGAAGGCGGCUCACUGGCCCGAUACUGACGCUGAGGCACGAAAGCGUGGGGAGCAAACAGGAUUAGAUACCCUGGUAGUCCACGCCGUAAACGAUGAAUGCCAGCCGUUAGUGGGUUUACUCACUAGUGGCGCAGCUAACGCUUUAAGCAUUCCGCCUGGGGAGUACGGUCGCAAGAUUAAAACUCAAAGGAAUUGACGG
rnacentral:rRNA from 1 species